AAAACUUUCAACAACGGAUCUCUUGGUUCUGGCAUCGAUGAAGAACGCAGCGAAAUGCGAUAAGUAAUGUGAAUUGCAGAAUUUAGUGAAUCAUCGAAUUUUUGAACGCAUAUUGCGCCCCUCGGUAUUCCGGGGGGCAUGCCUGUUCGAGCGUCAUUG
rnacentral:rRNA from 1 species